UACGGAGGAUCCGAGCGUUAUCCGGAUUUAUUGGGUUUAAAGGGUGCGUAGGCGGUCCGUUAAGUCAGCGGUAAAAUUGCGGGGCUCAACCCCGUCGUGCCGUUGAAACUGACGCCCUUGAGUGAGUGAGAAGUAAGCGGAAUGCGUGGUGUAGCGGUGAAAUGCAUAGAUAUCACGCAGAACUCCGAUUGCGAAGGCAGCAUACCGGCGCUCAACUGACGCUCAUGCACGAAAGUGUGGGUAUCGAACAGG
rnacentral:rRNA from 1 species